rnacentral:sRNA from 1 species
CGUUAUUUCUCAACGGAAAAGUGACUGAGCGGUUUAAAGUGAAGAUCUGCUAAAUCUUUGUGUAAUAGUUAAUUACACCGUGGGUUCGAAUCCCAUCUUUUCCGAAGCUAACUUUUCGAGAGUUAGAGUAGAGCAAUGGUUUAGCUCAUUGGGUUCAUGCCCCGAAGGUUGUAAGUUCAAGUCUUGCCUCUAACAUAUGAUACACGUUAUUUAAAUAAGUUGUAUAAAGUAAAGCAUUAAAAGGAUGCCUUAACAUCAAAUAUUAUAAUAAGGACGUUUUUAAACGAUAUGUAAUAACGAGUAUUAACAAAUAUUGAGAGUUAUUAUUUUCCUUAAUUGGUAAACCAAAAGUUUAAAAUUUAGCGAACUGAACCAUCUAAGUAGCUAAAAGAUAAAUCAACCGAGAAACCGUAAGUAGUGGCGAACGAAACCGGUUAAAGACAUUUUUUGAAUCUACUCAUUUAAUUUUACCAGCCAAAGAAGGAAACAUAUACGUUAAGUAACAUGUAGCCCUGUAAAAUGAAAAAGUUCGAAACGAUUUAAGUAAAAUUGCACAAGUGACGUGCUGUUUGAAUAGCGGGGUCCCAUCCUCGAGUCUAAAAUUUUUGAUGAUUGAUAGUGUAUAUAGUACCGUGAGGGAAAGGUGAAAUAAGUAUUUAGUAAAAUAAAAUAUUGAAAAGUCCUGAAAUUUAAUGCUGACAAGCAGUUGACGCUUAAUAAAGUAACAGCGUACCUUUUGCAUAAUGGAUCAAUGAGUUUAUUUUAGUGGCGAGCUUAAAAUUAGUAUUUUUGUAGGCGAAAAGAAAUUAAGUUUUAAAUUACUGUUAAGUCUCUAAAAUAAGACCCGAAACUAAGUGAUCUAACCAUGAACAGGUUGAAUUUAUGGCGGUAACGCAUAUUGGAGGACCGAACCCGUGUAUGUGGAAAAAUACUGGGAUGAUUUGUGGUUAGGGGUGAAAGGCCAAUCAAACUUAGAGAUAGCUGGUUUUCUGCGAAAUCUAUUUAAGUAGAGCGUUUAAAUUUAUCUUUAUCCGAUGGUAGAGCACUCAAUAAAUAAAGGGGGCGUAAAGCUUUACUAAAUUUAAGGAAACUCCGAAUGUUGGAUAAACGAAAUUAAACAGACAGACUUUGAGUGCUAAGAUUCAUAGUCAAGAGGGAAACAGCCCAGACUAUUCGUUAAGGUCCUUAAAAAUAAUUAAGUGAGAAAGACUUAGAAACAUUUUAACAACUUGUAGGUAGGCUUGGAAGCAGCCAUCCUUUAAAGAAAGCGUAACAGCUCACUAGUCUAGUUUUUCUAGGUCGAAAAUGUAGAGGGACUAAAAUUAUUUACCGAAACGAUAGUGUUAAUUUUUAAGAGGUAGCAGAACGUUCUGUAAAUCUAAGAAGAUUUAUGUUGACAUAAAUUGGAGAAAUCAGAAGUGAAAAUAUUGAUAUGAGUAGCGAUAAACAGUGUGAAAAACACUGUCAUCUUAAAUUCAAGGUUUCCAAAGAAAGGUUAAUCCGCUUUGGGUUAUUCGGUCCCUAAGACUACGACGAAAGUCUAAAGUUGAUGGGUUAAUAAUAAAAUUUAUGGUUAAUGUUUAUUUUAGGCAUUCCGUGACAAAAAUUGAAAAAAAUUUAGAUUAAACGGUAAGAAUUUAAGUUUUUAAAAUUUUUCGAGAAAUAGCGGGUUUGUCAAAUAGGCUGUUGUAUGGCUAUAAAUGACCGUACUGUAAACCGACACAGGUGAAUGCGUUUAGAAAACUAAGAUGUUUAAGAUAAUUAUGUUGAAGGAACUCGGCAAAAUGACUCCGUAACUUCGGGAGAAGGAGUAGCUUUAAAAACUUAUUAAAUCAUUUUUUUAAAGCUGUCACAAAAUCAAGGACAGCGACUGGUUAAUAAAACCAUAGGUCUCUGCAAAAUUGAAAAAAGAUGUAUAGAGACUGACGCCUGCCCGGUGCUGCAAGUAUAAUAGAAUAAGUGUAAGCUUUGACUAAAAACCUCAGUAAACGGCGGCUGUAACUCUGACGGUCCAAAGGUAGCGAAAUUCCUUGGCAUUUAAUUGGUGUCCUGCAUGAAUGGCGUAACGACUGUCCUACUGUCUCCAACGUAAUCUUAGUGAAAUUGAAUUCUCCGUGAAGAUGCGGAGUUCUUGUGGCUAGACGGAAAGACCCCGUGCACCUUUACUAUAGUUAUACAUUGUAAUAAGAAUUUUUAUGUGUAGAAUAUGUGGCUAGUUUUUAAAAAGUAUUUACGUCAGUAAAUAACUUAAAACGAAAGUGAAAUACCACUCUUAAAACUUUUUAUUACUUAAUUAAUUAAGACAUUGUAUAAUGGGUAGUUUGACUGGGGCGGUCGCCUCCUAAAGAGUAACGGAGGUGUGCAAAGGUAAGCUCAAAUUAAAAAUAUUUUAAUUGUAGAGUAUAAUAACAUAUGCUUGCUUAACUGUAAGAUUGACAAAUCAAACAGAGACGAAAGUCGGUUAUAGUGAUCCGGUGAUUCUGAAUGGAAAAGGUCAUCGCUCAACGGAUAAAAGGUACGCCGGGGAUAACAGGCUAAUCACUCUCUAGAGACCUUAUCGACGGAGUGGUUUGGCACCUCGAUGUUGGAUUAUCGCAUCCUGGUAUUGUAAGUGAUUCCAAGGGUUUGGUUGUUCGCCAAGUAAAGCGGUACAUGAUCUGAGUUUAGAACGUCGUGAGACAGUUUGGUCCCUAUCUACCACAAGUGUCAAAAAUUGAAAGGAUUAAACCCUAGUACGAGAGGACCGGGAAAAGUAAACCCAUGGUGUGUCGGUUGUUGUACCAACAGCAUAGCCGAGUAGCUAAGUUUAUAUUAGAUAAUUGCUGAAAGCAUUUAAGCGAGAAACUAACCUUGAAACUUAUUUUUUAAAACGUAAUAGACUAUUACGUUGAUAGGCUUAUAUUUUGUGUAACGGUUGUGAAAUUCUUAGCAUAUAAGUACUAAUAAUUAAUUUUUAUACGACU